rnacentral:snoRNA from 12 species
AUUACUAGUGAUGAAUUCAUUGCCACCCAGUCUGAUCGCUGUGACUGAUAGGUAUUUCCUGAGCUGUG